AGACGGAGGGCGCAAGCGGUGUUCGGAAUUACUGGGCGUAAAGGGCAGGUAGGUGGUCUGUUAAGUCUUCUGUGAAAAUCCGGGGCUCAAGCCCGCGAAAUGCAGGUGAAACUGGCAGACUGGAGACCGGUAGAGGCUAGCGGAAUUCCUGGUGUAGCGGUGGAAUGCGUAGAUAUCAGGAAGAACACCUGUGGCGAAGGCGGCUAGCUGGGCCGGUUCUGACACUAAACUGCGAAAGCGUGGGGAGCAAACAGGAUUAGAAACCCCGGUAGUCC
rnacentral:rRNA from 1 species